GUGGAAUGAGAGCUCUCCAGUCUCUGGGCAAAAAAAUAGCAGGGAUUUUUGUGAGUGGUCCUGCUGAGAACAAUGUCACUGGAGCGCAUGUGCACGAGACGACUCCAUUUUUUUCUUUCAGUGUUUGAACGAAUACAACGUCGCCCGGUUGGAAUGUUAUCGCUAUUUUACGAGAAAAAUUGCAUAAAAAUGUAUUUUAAACAGCGUUUGACAUGCUUCGAAGUACGGUAAUGGAAUAUUUCGAAUUUUUUUGUCACAAAAUGCACCCUUCGGAUAGUGACUUGAACGCACGAACAAAACGGAGCUAUUUGGAUAUAACUAUGGAUUAUUUCGAACCUAAACAACACUUGUUGUUGAAGUAGAAGUCCUGGGAGUGCAUUCUGACGAAGAACAGCAAAGCGUCGGAUGUUCUACAGGAGAGGUUUGCGGUAGAGAUGAAGUGUAACACUGCACUGCGUCUGGCUGCCCUGCACAGGCACGAGAGACUGAACAGUAUAGGCUCCACCCGGACCUCUAUCAAGAGCAUUGCGUGAGAGACGCACGCACGCGCUCUGGAUUACUGACCUCUGCUUGCCCUUGACCUGUCGUUUGCCUGCUCCCCUGUUUUUGUAAUAAACUUUUGUUACUUCUAAACUGUCUGCAUCUGAGUCUUCUCCUGAGCCUUGGCAGUACGAACUGGCCCCAUGUGGUGGGGUUGGUGGAGACAAGGCAGCGAAGAGUUGUCUCCAGGUCUUGAUUGGCUCGCUCCGACUGACUGUUGGACUGAGGGUGGAACCCGGAGGACAGGCUGGCCGAUGACCCAAUAAGUGUGCAGAACGCCUUACAGAACCUGGACGAGAAUUGAGGACCCCGUUCAGAGACUAUGUACACCGGGAGUCAAUGGAUCCGGAAGAUGUGCUGCACCAUGAGCUGGGCCGUCUCUUUGGCAGAGGGUAGCUUGGGGAGAGGAAUGAAAUGAGCAGUUUUGGAAAACCGGUACACUACUACCUCAACUGGUAUGCAUCCAGCCCUGGAGUUUCGCCAGACUUAAAGGCUAUAAUUGCAUAAAGAAGUGCCACCUCUGUAAUUUGGCCUUCACAUGAGUCUUUCUGUUAAUUUUAUAUUAUUAAUAGAAACAAAUCCUUACAAUUAACUUCAGUUUGUGGAGAUGGAGGAGACAAACUAAAACAUAUGCUUAAAGUACUUUGCUUCCGCUUUCAAAAUAUAGUUUGGUGAAUCAUGUUUCAGUAAAUUUCUAUGUUCAAGAAAAAAUGUGGUUUCCCUCAUAUUCCAUCCAGUUCGCUUUAUUUUUGGAAUAUAUUAAACUUGAU
rnacentral:lncRNA from 1 species